rnacentral:rRNA from 13 species
CCCGCGGUUAGACGGAAAGACCCCGUGCACCUUUACUACAGCUUCACACUGGCAUCAGGCCAAGCAUGUGCAGGAUAGGUGGUGGGCUUUGAAACCGGAACGCCAGUUCCGGUGGAGCCUCCCUUGAGAUACCACCCUUGCUUUGCUUGAUGUCUAACCGCGGUCCGUUAUCCGGAUCCGGGACCCUGUGUGGCGGGUAGGUUGACUGGGG